GACGAACGCUGGCGGCGUGCUUAACACAUGCAAGUCGAGCGGAGCGGCGGACGGGCGAGUAACGCGUGAGUAAUGGGCCCCCUCUUUGGGAUAACAGUUGGAAACGGCAGCUAAUACCUGAUAGCGGGGGAUGAAUCGCGUCCUAUCAGCUUGUGGGGGGGGUAGUGGCCGACCAAGGCGAGGACGGGUACCCGGCCUGGGAGGGCGACCAGCCACAUUGGGCUUAGAGACGGCGCAGGCUCCUACAGGAGGCAGCAGUGGGAAGUAUGGCACAGUGGGGGAGACCCUAGUGCAACAACGCCGCGUGCGUAAUGACGUUCCUCGGGUUGUGAACCGCUUUCAGCCAAGACGCGGUAGUGGCAGAAGAAGCACCGGCUAACUACGUGCCAGCAGCCGCGGUAAUUC
rnacentral:rRNA from 1 species